rnacentral:rRNA from 1 species
GACGUAGGGCGCGAGCGUUGUCCGGAAUUAUUGGGCGUAAAGAGCUCGUAGGCGGCUUGUCGCGUCGACUGUGAAAACCCGCGGCUCAACCGUGUGGCUUGCAGUUGAUACGGGCAGGCUAGAGUUCGGUAGGGGAGACUGGAAUUCCUGGUGUAGCGGUGAAAUGCGCAGAUAUCAGGAAGAACACCCGUGGCGAAGGCGGCUCUCUGGGACGGUACUGACGCUGAGACGCGAAAGCGUGGGGAGCGAACAGG